ensembl:lncRNA
GCGUGUCUGGAUUUUGUCGUCUGCAUAGUCCGAAGAGACCUGGAUCUAGUCAUGCAAUUGGCGUGUCGGCACCAUUUACGGUUUGGGCUGUGGGCACAGUUUCAGGGAGGUAAGUAUAACUAGAACUGCAAGCAGUUAUGCAGGGGUCCAAGAAGUGUGCAUUUCGCCGGCACAACGCGACAAGAAAUGUGCAUUUCGCCGGCACAACGCGAAGCAAGUAUUCAAAACGCUACCGUGAACAACAUGUGGAUAUAAAGGUUUUGACUGUGGGAGCUUCGGUGUGGGAGUUAUAGCCUAAAACGCGUUUUCAGAACAUUCCAUUGGCCAAAUAGGAGAU